AGCUUUGCUCAGUGGCAAUAUCAUAGCCAGUGAGGUUUAUCCGAGGCACGAUUCUUGCUAAUUGAAAACUUUUCCCAAUUCCCCACAGUGACGUCUUGAAAUAUAGUCGGCAUUGGUAAUUUUUGACAGUCUCUAUGGAGA
rnacentral:snRNA from 1 species